UUAAACAAUCAACAUCUUUACAUGCAAAUGCCAUCAAAAGGACUUUUCCACAACUUGUAGUGAGGUUGGGCUAACAAGAAAAAUUGGUUUUUUUGGAAUACAAAGUCCUUGAGUCAAGAGAGCUACCAUGAUAUUCAAAAUGUAAGCUCAACUCUCUUCCUCACUAAUCUCACUCAUUCCCAACUUUUUCCCCUUUUCUUUUUCAUUGAGCUCAUCUUCAUGCUUUUCUUCUUUUUUUUUCUUUUUCUCAUGAAUUUUUCUUUUAACAACAUUUGAGCUCAAUGCUUCACAAUUGCUUUUAAAAUUUUCCCCAUACAACCCCAAAACUUGAACCUUUUCAUCACAUACAAUUAAGCUCAUCCCAACUCAAGGUAAAGAAUUUAAGGACAAGGGUUCACAUCCUGUUUAAGGCUACGGUUCAAAAAGGGUAUAAAAUUUUCAAGCACUUAGGGUGAAAAUUUGGCUAGAGAAGGGAUCUCAAAAAUGGCCUUGAUCAUAUGACAUUCACAUGCAAUUCAAUCAAUCAUCGAGAAUAAGGCAAUAUCAUUCAUGUUUUCCUGUGAACAAUGCAUAGAACAAUAAAAACUCUGGAGCUCAAAAUCUCACACGACAUGCUUUCUCACACAAAAUCCAUUUAUACACCCUGCUUAGCAUCAUAAUCACAAUCAUAAUUCAUCACACAUCUGUUUCAUUGGAUAUUAACAUAGAACACAACCCAAUUACUAUCCACAUCAAAUAAUCAUCAAAUAGUUCCAUCCUGCACAUCAGUCAGUCAAACAUUCUCAGAAAAUGUAUUCAAGCCAAGAGUACACACUUAAAUUAAAAUUUCAACCUAUUCUAGAAAUUUAAAAAGUAAAAGAGAGAAAACUAGGUUGCCUCCUAGUAGCGCUUGUUUAAAGUCACGAGCCUGACCCAGACCUGUUUAGCACUUGUCAGUAAGUGCAAUACCUUCCAACACCCAUCAGUAGGUGUGCCUUCCUGGAAUCCUUCAGUGGAUUCAAAAAUUUUAGCAUCCCUCAGUAGAUGUUAAUCAUUAAUGCCAUCAGAAGCAGCACAUAACCCAAAAAUAAAAUAAAAUAAAAUAAAAUAAAAUAAAAAAUAAAAAAAUAAAAAAUAAAAAUAAAAUAAAAUAAAGUAAAAUCAAAUAAAAUAAAAUAAAAUAAAAUAUAAUAAAAUAAAAUAAAAUCAAAUCAAAUUAAAUAAAAUAAAAUAAAAUAAAAUAUAAUCAAAUCAAAUAAAAAAAUAGAAUAAAAUAAAAUAAAAUAAAAUAAAAUAAAAAUUCAGAAACUAGGUUGUCCUAGUAGAGUUCAAACACCCAUCAGUAGGUGUUCAGUUUAUUCUUGCUUGGUAUCUUCUUCUUCUUCUUCUUUACGCUAAAUCUCUUGAAAAAGUUGAUCAAACCAAGCACAUGUUUCCAUACAUCAAUCGUAGGAGCCUUAAUCUCCAAUUCCUUGAAGAUCUUCAUGAAGUACUUGAACCUAUUUUCCUUCCUAUGAUUUUUCUUUUUAUGCGGAAGGGGUUUUUCACAUUACCUUUUUUUCUUUCCUCUCUUCCUCUUUUUCUUAAUUUUCUCCUUCCUUAACCCUCUCCUUUUCUUUUUCUUUUAUUUCUUUAUUUUCGCAUUUUUUUUCUUUUUUUCUUUUCUUUCAACCACUGCUUUUCCUUUCUCAUCAUCCUUCUCACUCUCAUUCAACUUUUCUGUUUCUAUCUCCUCUAUCUUUUCUGCAGCAACAACUUUUUCUAUUUUUAUUUCCUCUUCAUACAUCUCUAGCUCUUCUUCUUCUAUCUUCUCUUCCUUGACAACCUUAUCAUUUGUAAAGAUAGUGGCUUGACAUUCUUCUUUAGGGUUAACUUCAAUAUUAACCCUAAUAAUGCCCAGAGACUUCAAGACCUUUGUUAUCUCAUCUUCCUCUAUCUUCUCUGCAUCAAUAACCUUGUCAUUCUCAAAGAUAGGAACUUGACAUUCUUCCUUAGGGUUAACUUCAGUAUUAACCCUAAUAAUACCCAGAGACUUCAACGCAUGAGAGUGUUGUUCCUGCAAUAAACGUUCUUUGGCUUCCCCCAACGUUUCUUUUCGCACUAAGAAUAAAUCCUGUUGUAAACGUUGUUUAGCUUCCUGAUGAAUCGAUAUUUUAUUGAUUUCACUUAGUUUAUUGCGCUAGAAUUAAUCAGGGAAUUGUGCUUAAUUGUCCGAUAUUUUCCCGUUUUUCCUAAUAGUGCUUAAUUUGACCGGAAAUUCUAAUUUUAAUUAAUUUGAAUAUUUUGAGCUAAUUAUUUGCAUUAUUAACUGCAGGGAAAUUUUGGAGAUAUAUUUGGGACAAUUGGAAGGACACCAAAUAAAUUUAAGACUCUCAAAUUUAGGCAUUUUAAAUUUUCGUUAUCUUAUAAUUUAGUAGUUUAGGAUUUUUAGACAAACUUUUACAUUGUGGGCCAAUGUUGGCAAAUUUCAUGAUGGCCCAAACUUUGAGGGACACUUGGCACCAAACCCUAGGGUUUUAGGGUAGACCCCACCCCAAUUUUAGGACACAUGAUCCUAAGGAGAUACCUAGCAGCCGUGAUAUAUAUUUUUUUUCAUACACACGUGGUGCGGGAACGGAAUUCAGAGAAUGCUUGCUGGAACGGUGCCUUGGAAUUCUCUUUGCAGAUUUUUGGCUCAUUUGGUUUAAGAAUCUUCUUCUUCUUUCAAUUAUGCACAUGUUUGAUGAUUUUGGUUGAGAAGGGGGCUGCAGCUGCCAACACUUCAUUUUGGAGACUUGGCUGGAACGUUUGAUAAAAGGCAUUCUCAACAGAUUUUGCUAGGUGGCUAGAACGUGUCUUUGAGUUAACAACGUUGUUCUCGGUUCUUUAUCUUUCAUGAGGAGAAUGAUGAGCCCAUUUUCUUUUGUUUUUGUUGCAUGCGUUG
rnacentral:lncRNA from 1 species